UCGUGAUCUCACUUCCAUCCCACCUGCUGAUUACAGUACUUCUUCACAGGGGUAGGAUGGGGAGGCAGUUCAGUACUAUGGAAAGCAUUACUAUUUUCUGACAUUAGGAGAGUAGAACAACAUGAUCGGAGGGGUGGGUUAUUCACCCUGUCACUCCUGCAGGAUGAAUAACAGUUGAGACCACCGUAGCUCAUUGAAGAACUCCCUAGGGGGCCUAAAGACCAGUUAUAAUUAGAAUUAGGAAAAAGUACCUAAUUGCUACCCAGCUUGAAGGGACAUUAAUGUGAGAUUGGGGGCUGAAAACUUUUUUUCUUGAACUCUGGAAGAAUGAGCAAUGGUUUUCUAUAUCCGUAACCUUGUUAUAAGCUAAGGGUCGUUGAUAAAAUGCUGGACCCCUCAAGGAGGGCUUGAACAUAAACCACUGCUCUACACCCCCAGAAUAGGGUACCUGAAUGAUUUUCCAUCUGGAAUGGUUACAUUCAAUCACAAGAUUGAUCUAUUUGAAUAUGAACAAACAGACCUAUUGCAUAUGGGUAUAUUUGUGUCCACCUUAAAUAAACUGCUUACAUUUGCAUGCUUUAUAGCCUAUUUCAGAACGUCCCCGAAUACGACAGCUAAAUUGCCCUGAAAGACUUCUUAGUGCACUUGUUCCUAUGGCCCAAAAUUCUUAUUUCAUAUGGUAGACUCGCACUUUUACCUCUGUCAAAUCACUAUUAAAGCUUAGUAAUGCAUGGUGAUCAGAACAGCAAUCUUGCUUUAAUAUGCUCAAUGUGAUAAUAAAAGCUUGUUUUUAUUUUCCUAUAUUCUUGACAUUUUGUGGACUGACAGUUGCAUUUUUUUUUCUCCAGUCAGCCACAUGGAACAGUGCUACAAUUUUAAAUCUGCCAUUUGGUUUCAAUUCCUUCUUCCUCUGGGCUGCUGGUCUACUUGAGCACGCCUCUUGCAGCCAUGAUAUUAUAAACCACAACUGCUGCUGGAGGAAGAGAAAUGAGGAACUGAUUAACAGACACACAGAAUGCUCUCGUAACUAUUUCUCUUUUUUUUUUUUUUUAAUCAUUUUAAACAAUGCACACAGUAAAAAAGUAAUAAAACACGAAGCCACAAUAUCUGGCUUAAUUAAUAUAUUCUGUUAAAGCUUAAAACGAAUGGCAGUUUAUUCUUUUGUUUAUGAAAUGCAACAUAAAGCUUUAAUUGUGAUGAUAUCCAACAACAAAAAUCCCAUCAUUAUCCCUGUUUAAUGGCCAGUGCUCUCUCAUUCUGGGUGUCUCAGCUGCGUGUAUUGUUUCCUUUGCACACUGCCAGUGAAUGAAGACUGCAUUGUGUGCCUGGAUUCACGUACAGCCUAGCCCUUGUGUUUACAGCUUUUGUUACACUCCUGCUAAAUACCCUUCAUCCAACAGAAGGCAGGGGGUGGGUGCUCAAGUAAAACCAAACAAGGAACCCUAUCUACAGUAUAAUAUACUAUGUAGUUUUGUUGUUUGUAAAAGCUAAGAAAAAAGGAGGAAAUUACAUCACAUUCGUUACUUCCAAGCAAAGAGUUAAAGCAGUCCAAAUUCUCUCUCUGCCCUCCCUCUUACUGGAGAGAUGUUUGCUGCAGAAUCCAUUACAGACGUGGAUAAAGACACGUAUUUAAGCAAUGCAGACCAUUGCAGCAGAGUCUUCAGGGUAUACACAUAAAUGACAGGCAUUUAAGCAAAAGCAUCCCAUAAUAAAAGGACUACAUGUAUGCGCUUUUUUUUGGGACCGAUGAAGAUGAAGAUAAUUUUUUUUUUUAAGUGAAGGAAAUUUUCAAGAAAGAAACAACAAUUGAUUUUCCUCACUUGGACUUAUACACUAAUCAUGGUAUUAUGGGGGCAAUAUCAAAGGGUAUCUACUCUGCCACUGCCUAUGUAUCCAAAAGCCUCACAAUACAAUAUGAAGUACUUAUUAUUAAUAAAUCCCAAGGAAAUGAACACAGGAUUGUAUGAGAUCCACAGUAGUUCCUUCUCUCAGCUUCUGGAUGUUUCCUUAGCGGAUGAGGCAAUUAGCAAGCACAACCCACAGAAUGAAACCAUAAGAAGAAGGGGAUUGAAGGACACUUUACAUGAACUGUACAUUAAAAAAAAAAUUAAAACCUGGAGAACAUGAA